UCUCUAAAAGUCACAUACAUGAUUGUUUGAGUUAGACAAAUCAAAAUAAAUGCCUAAAAAAAACAAUUAUUCAUUUUGUCUUAAAUUUACACUAUAAUUUAAGUUUACUUCACUAGUAAAAAUCAGUAUUUGACUAACUGAAUUAUAUUUUUAACAUGCACUUAAUAUUUUUUGAUACAUUUAAAUCAAAAUAUCUGUUAAUGGAGUAAUUGUACUGAUUAGUUUCAAGAACUACAUAAUAUAAAUUAUUCCAACUCAAUAUUCUUUAUUUUUAACAACAAAAACUUAAAUAAUUGAGUAAAUUGCCCUGUGCAAGUGCUCAUGGGAAGUCUGGUGUAACAUCAGAGACAAGAAGGCUGUGUGGAUGUGAGAAUGGACAUGAAGCACCUGGAACAUUCUGGAACAUUCCUUACAAAUCCUGCACCAACACCACUAAUGAAGAGAAGUUGAAUGGAGAUAAAACAGGAGGUGCCAGCAUUAUGGGAUGGCGGUGUAAGCUCUGCACAUUUGUCGUAUCAUCAAAAGGAAUUUCGAUCAUUACCGAGUGAAGCAUGGUACUGUUGGUCAUGGAUAUUUAGUGUCCUGUCUUCAUUUAGACUGUCAUUGCUUCUUUAAGACCUGAGAAGGUCUGCACACACAUUUGUAUGGAUCCCACAGUUUGCAGGAAACUGAAGUGUGAAGGUGUGCAAUCUUUCAGAUGUAAAAUGUGACUCAUUAGAUUCUAAUACAAAAGUCUACUUUCCAUGUGUUAACUGUAUAAUACUUGUGGCAGGAGUAUUGUUUCUGAAACUGUUUACUAAUAAGAUAAAUCCAGCUGUCUGUUUAUGAUCUUGUUACAUGUCAUUUGCAAAGUAAAC